GACGAACGCUGGCGGCGUGCCUAACACAUGCAAGUCGAGCGAAGCUUAAGCCUUCAGCUUGCUGUUGGUUUAAGACUUAGCGGCGAACGGGUGAGUAACGCGUGGGUGACCUACCCAGGAGACCGGGAUAACAGCUCGAAAGGGCUGCUAAUACCGGAUGACAUCCUACUCUUUUGGGGGUAGAUCAAAGCGUUAAGUAGCGCUUCUGGAUGGGCCCGCGUCCCAUUAGCUAGUUGGUGAGGUAACGGCUCACCAAGGCGACGAUGGGUAGCCGGUCUGAGAGGAUGGUCGGCCACACUGGGACUGAGAUACGGCCCAGACUCCUACGGGAGGCAGCAGUGGGGAAUUUUGCGCAAUGGGGGCAACCCUGACGCAGCGACGCCGCGUGGGUGAAGAAGGCCUUCGGGUUGUAAAGCCUGUCUAGGGGAAGAGUAGUGACGGUACCCCUCGGAGGAAGCCCGGCUAACUACGUGCCAGCAGCCGCGGUAUAGUACUCUAU
rnacentral:rRNA from 1 species